AUGAGUCAUCUGACUCGCACUAUGGCUGAUGAAGCAAGAAAGAGUGCCACGGGCGGGAACCAGAGGACUUGCGAGAAGGGAGUACAACCAUUUUUGCAAUAUAUAGUUGAGAGAAUUCGAGCCUGCUACUAUAGCUGGAGACUGUUACUAUUGUCAAUUAUAAAAAUUAUGUUCUUCUAUGAUUUAGUGAAGUCGGGAGGAAAGUGGUGUGCAAAGGCAGAAGCUUUUGUAGCUGUGGUGUUCUUAAUAAUGGCACGGAAGGCCAAAAAACAUAGAUUUGGACAGGUUUUAUCUGUGUAA
rnacentral:rRNA from 1 species